GAUCAUUGUUGUAAAAACUCAGCAGCCUCUGGGCUCCGUUCACUCGGGCCUAGAGCUGCGAUCCACAAACCAAACACACCUGUGCACCUAUGAAUUUUUUUCACCAAACGCAAAGUAGAUCAUUGAAUGUUUACAAAAAUCCUUCGAAGGAAGGUGAAAGUUAAAUACAACUUUCGGCAACGGAUCUCUAGGUUCUCCUAUCGAUGAAGAACGCAGCGAAUUGCGAUAAGUAAUUGUGAAUUGCAGAAGUCAGUGAAUCAUCGAAUCUUUGAACGCAUCUUGCGCCCUUUGGUAUUCCUUAGGGCAUGCCUGUUUGAGUGUCACGAGCAACCUUUAAACCUCGGGUUUUUUCAUUAAGACCUGCCUGGGUUUAGUCUUGAGCGCCUGCCCUGUCAAAGGGGCUCGCUCUAAAUGCAUUAGCUGGAAGCACCUUUCCAUAUGGUCGCCUGCUCUUUCUUUAAAGUAGUGGGGCGGACUGUCAGCGUGAUAAUUGUCUUGCUGGUGGUCUACCUCUACGAAAUUCAGAAAUUACCAAGAGCGGAUGUGCCGGAUAGCGUCUUUCGCUUCUAACCAAGGGAGCCGGUCCUGUCAAGGAUCGCGCUCUGCACUAUUUGACAUCUG
rnacentral:misc_RNA from 1 species